rnacentral:tRNA from 1 species
GCUUUCUUAGCUCAGAUGUAGAGCUCGUGGCUUUUAACCACGUGGUCGUGGGUUCGAUCCCCUAGACGGUG